rnacentral:lncRNA from 1 species
AGAAGUUCCCCAUGCCUGCCCUACACAUCCAGGCUCUGAGUUUUUACUUUUUCUACUAUAUUGCCAUGCAAGUAACUUUAACUUUGCUUCUCUGUUCUCUGUCACUGAGAAAUACCAUGUCUCCAUGGCAAUAGGAAUGCAUUUACCUUCACCAAACCUGCUCAAAUCCUUGCUGAACAGGACGUAGCAGGAGUUGACUUUCCAAUGGUGGAGGUUCAGAGUACAGCCUGUAGCCACAGAGAAAAGUUGCUUGUUCCUGAAAUGCAGACACACCUCCAAUCCAGAGAGCAAGUCAUCUCGUGGAGGAAGUGGUAGCUGUAAAAAUUCAAAUGGAAAAGGCAUAGGUGCUGUUUAUAAACCAGCCCAGCUUUGGCUCAGGACAAGCCACCCAUCUCCAGGGGCUGGCGUGUGUGCCUCUGCUGACCGCAGCUGCUGACCUGUCUCCUGUACACUCUGGAUGCUGUGAUGCCCAGACAGCAAAACUUCUUUUCAGGCUCCCCAAGAAGGCAGGGACCCCAGUUCUCUCAAGAGCUAACAUUAGAGCAAAUCAGUCUCAAGAGGGAGUCCCAGAAUCAAGAGGAAAUAUGGGCUUGCUCCUUGAUCCUGGAGUAGAGCACAUCUUCCCUGCCUGCAUGGCCAUGCUGUGAAUCUGCAGCUCAGAAGUUGGUCUCCCUAAUGCCACACUCUGGAACCAUGUCAGCCACAUGAUUGUGGCUUCCCGAGGCCACGGCGUGUGCACUCUGCCUGUUCAUGUUGUGUUUUCCUGGUGACUCCUUCCUUUGCUAUUCAGUAAUAAGGCUGAUCUGCCAUAGCAACGCCCACAGCCAAUGGCACCUGCACAGUGCGUUCCUUCUCUACUCCACAAUAUUUCCUUAAAGAAACACACACCUGGAAAUUGAAUUUCUGGAAUGAUUCCCAGAUGCUUUCCAGAGGAAGCCUGGCGACGUGGGCAAAUAGCCCUUUAUUUUCCACCACGGGAACAAAUAUUUCUGAUCUUUCUUUAGUGUUGGGGCUGCAUGCAAUAAAUACUCAGGUGACACUUUUCUGGGUGGCAGUGGUGAGUGAUGGGAAUGAGGCUAAAUAAAUACUUGUCAGUUUGUGUCAUUUCCACCAGCACUGAGAGGGUGACUGUUUCAGUAUCCAAGCGGAAAUUGUGGACUCAGGGCAAAAAGACAGAGAUGAAAAUUCAGUAGUUAUCUUCAGAGGGAAAGAAUUUUAAGCUGUGGGGAUGGAUAAAAUCUCUAUGGAAGGGAAAAAAAGAGAGACAGACAGAUGAAAGGAGAUGGGGCCUUUGAUCAUAUAAUUCAUUGCCCAAACUGGAACAACUUUGAGAGUGAAAGGAGGUCACUAUUAAUAGUGACACUGGGGCCUCAGAUGUAAACUAGGAUUGUCUUGGGCACACAGGGACUUAUGGUUGCCCUAAUGCUAGGGUCAGUCUAUUGAAGGGGCCAAUGAUGAUAGCCUGACCCUUGCCACAGCCCUGACACUUGCCACAUAACAGUAGGGAGUGGUAAUGAGGCAGUCACUCAAUAUAGCUCAGAACAUAAGACCUUCUGGUAGGGUCUUCACUGGGGGUGGGGGAUGGUGCUUCAUGAACUCCUGAAACUUGUCUUCCCUUGGCUGCCAAAGGCCUCCCUCCCUUCUCUCAUCUUCCUCUUUCCAUGGGGAUGAGGGAGGUACCGUGAGGCCGGGACACAGAUGUCCAUGUGCUCUCCAAAUGUCUUGGGGGAGGGGAGAAAACUAUAACUCUUGGAAAUUUGAUAGAAUUGUCAAAAGAAUAUAAUCAGCUACAUACAUUGUUUAACCAAAGUUGUAGUUCUAUGAUAAAAGAUAAAAAUUUUCUUUUAUGAGAAUAAAAUACCUAGGAAUCCAACUUACAAGGGAUGUGAAGGACCUCUUCAAGGAGAACUACAAACCACUGCUCAAGGAAAUAAAAGAGGAUACAAACAAAUGGAAGAACAUUCCAUGCUCAUGGGUAGAAAGAAUCAAUAUUGUGAAAAUGGCCAUACUGCUCAAGGUAAUUUAUAGAUUCAAUGCCAUCCCCAUCAAGCUACCAAUGACUUUCUUCACAGAAUUGGAAAAAACUACUUUAAAGUUCAUAUGGAACCAAAAAAGAGCCCACAUCGCCAAGUCAAUCCUAAGCCAGAAGAACAAAGCUGGAGGCAUCACACUACCUGACUUCAAACUAUACUACAAGGCUACAGUCACCAA